AACGGCCGUACCAUGCUGAAUAUACCGGUUCUCGUUCGAUCAGCGAAGUUAAGCAUCAUUGGGCGCGGUCAGUACUUGGGAGGGUGACCACCUGGGAACACCGCGUGUCGUU
rnacentral:rRNA from 1 species